rnacentral:snoRNA from 1 species
GCUGGUUUAAAGAAACCUUUGCUACAGUUCUCAGAGAGAAUCUGCUGGUCUUGAUUCACUGGUGUGGGCAGUAAGUGCUCCCGGUAGUGCCCAGAGCAGAAACAUAG